UGAGGGUACCACUGAAGUGCUUCCUCUGUCCACAUGGAGCUCCCCUGCCGUUUCGAAGCUGGGAGUGGAGAACCUGCUCGGGGACCCUCGUGUCAGUCAUGCAGACAAUACUGACCUGGAUUGUUACCUGCGUCCAGGCUGACUGUGGUUGAACAUUGAAACAUACGAACAAGGAAGAAGAGCAGGCCACUCAUCCCUUCAAGUCUGCUCUGCUAUUCAAUGUGAGAGUCUUCAGAAAACAACAGAGAAUUAUUAAGUUUGGUAUAGCACCUUCUGACCUGCGGCUGGAAGUGUAUUAUCCAUUUUUAUCUGGUUCUUUAAAUGACCAUGCAAGAAAUAUCUUGUCCGGGAAUCAGCUGUUUCAGCUAAUUUUCUGGAGUGGAUAAAACAUUGGAUUAAACAGUGGCCUUAAAGUGACAGGCCAGAUUUCAACUUGAUGUCAUUAAAUAUCAAUGUUCAUGCA